rnacentral:rRNA from 1 species
AAAUCCGGUUCACUUUAACACUGAGGCGUGACGACGAGGCACUACGGUGCUGAAGCAACAAAUGCCCUGCUUCCAGGAAAAGCCUCUAAGCAUCAGGUAACAUCAAAUCGUACCCCAAACCGACACAGGUGGUCAGGUAGAGAAUACCAAGGCGCUUGAGAGAACUCGGGUGAAGGAACUAGGCAAAAUGGUGCCGUAACUUCGGGAGAAGGCACGCUGACACGUAGGUGAAGUGAUUUACUCAUGGAGCUGAAGUCAGUCGAAGAUACCAGCUGGCUGCAACUGUUUAUUAAAAACACAGCACUGUGCAAACACGAAAGUGGACGUAUACGGUGUGACGCCUGCCCGGUGCCGGAAGGUUAAUUGAUGGGGUCAGCGCAAGCGAAGCUCCUGAUCGAAGCCCCGGUAAACGGCGGCCGUAACUAUAACGGUCCUAAGGUAGCGAAAUUCCUUGUCGGGUAAGUUCCGACCUGCACGAAUGGCGUAAUGAUGGCCAGGCUGUCUCCACCCGAGACUCAGUGAAAUUGAACUCGCUGUGAAGAUGCAGUGUACCCGCGGCAAGACGGAAAGACCCCGUGAACCUUUACUAUAGCUUGACACUGAACAUUGAGCCUUGAUGUGUAGGAUAGGUGGGAGGCUUUGAAGUGUGGACGCCAGUCUGCAUGGAGCCGACCUUGAAAUACCACCCUUUAAUGUUUGAUGUUCUAACGUGGACCCGUUACCCGGGUUGCGGACAGUGUCUGGUGGGUAGUUUGACUGGGGCGGUCUCCUCCUAAAGAGUAACGGAGGAGCACGAAGGUUGGCUAAUCCUGGUCGGACAUCAGGAGGUUAGUGCAAUGGCAUAAGCCAGCUUGACUGCGAGCGUGACGGCGCGAGCAGGUGCGAAAGCAGGUCAUAGUGAUCCGGUGGUUCUGAAUGGAAGGGCCAUCGCUCAACGGAUAAAAGGUACUCCGGGGAUAACAGGCUGAUACCGCCCAAGAGUUCAUAUCGACGGCGGUGUUUGGCACCUCGAUGUCGGCUCAUCACAUCCUGGGGCUGAAGUAGGUCCCAAGGGUAUGGCUGUUCGCCAUUUAAAGUGGUACGCGAGCUGGGUUUAGAACGUCGUGAGACAGUUCGGUCCCUAUCUGCCGUGGGCGCUGGAGAACUGAGGGGGGCUGCUCCUAGUACGAGAGGACCGGAGUGGACGCAUCACUGGUGUUCGGGUUGUCAUGCCAAUGGCACUGCCCGGUAGCUAAAUGCGGAAGAGAUAAGUGCUGAAAGCAUCUAAGCACGAAACUUGCCCCGAGAUGAGUUCUCCCUGAGACUUAAAGUCUCCUGAAGGAACGUUGAAGACGACGACGUUGAUAGGCCGGGUGUGUAAGCGCAGCGAUGCGUUGAGCUAACCGGUACUAAUGAACCGUGAGGCUUAA